GACGAACGCUGGCGGCGCGCUUAACACAUGCAAGUCGAACGGAAAGGCCUGCUUUCCCUUGUGGAUUGCGGGUACUCGAGUGGCGAACGGGUGAGUAACACGUGAGUGAUCUGCCCCCAACUUGGGUAUAAGCCUGGGAAACUGGGUCUAAUUCCCGAUAGGACUGCAGGGUGGUGCCUGUGGUGGAAAACGAUUUUCUAGUGGUUGGGGAUGAGCUCGCGGCCUAUCAGCUUGUUGGUGGGGUAAUGGCCUACCAAGGCGGCGACGGGUAGCCGGCCUGAGAGGGUGGACGGACACAUUGGGACUGAGAUACGGCCCAGACUCCUACGGGAGGCAGCAGUGGGGAAUAUUGCACAAUGGGCGGAAGCCUGAUGCAGCGACGCCGCGUGGGGGAUGACGGCCUUCGGGUUGUAAACUCCUUUCGACCGAGAGGAAGCCACCUGGUUGGAAGGGUGGUGACGGUAGUGGUAGAAGAAGCACCGGCUAACUACGUG
rnacentral:rRNA from 1 species